CGGGUGAGUAACACGUGUAUAACCUACCUAUAAGACUGGGAUAACUUCGGGAAACCGGAGCUAAUACCGGAUAAUAUAUUGAACCGCAUGGUUCAAUAGUGAAAGACGGUUUUGCUGUCACUUAUAGAUGGAUCCGCGCUGCAUUAGCUAGUUGGUAAGGUAACGGCUUACCAAGGCAACGAUGCGUAGCCGACCUGAGAGGGUGAUCGGCCACACUGGAACUGAGACACGGUCCAGACUCCUACGGGAGGCAGCAGCG
rnacentral:rRNA from 1 species